rnacentral:rRNA from 1 species
CCUACGGGAGGCUGCAGUGGGGAAUAUUGGACAAUGGGCGAAAGCCUGAUCCAGCCAUGCCGCGUGUGUGAAGAAGGCCUUCGGGUUGUAAAGCACUUUCAGUGGGGAAGAAAGCCUUGGGGCUAAUACCCUCGAGGAAGGACAUCACCCACAGAAGAAGCACCGGCUAACUCCGUGCCAGCAGCCGCGGUAAUACGGAGGGUGCGAGCGUUAAUCGGAAUUACUGGGCGUAAAGCGCGCGUAGGCGGUCUGAUAAGCCGGUUGUGAAAGCCCCGGGCUCAACCUGGGAACGGCAUCCGGAACUGUCAGGCUAGAGUGCAGGAGAGGAAGGUAGAAUUCCCGGUGUAGCGGUGAAAUGCGUAGAGAUCGGGAGGAAUACCAGUGGCGAAGGCGGCCUUCUGGACUGACACUGACGCUGAGGUGCGAAAGCGUGGGUAGCAAACAGGAUCAGAUACCCGUGUAGUC